rnacentral:rRNA from 1 species
AUUGAACGCUGGCGGCGUGCCUAACACAUGCAAGUCGAGCGGUAACAGGUGUAGCAAUACAUGCUGACGAGCGGCGAACGGGUGAGUAAUGCUUCGGAAUCUACCCAAUGGUGGGGAAUAACCAGCCGAAAGGUUGGCUAAUACCGCAUACGUCCUACGGGAGAAAGCAGGGGAUCGUAAGACCUUGCGCCAAUGGAUGAGCCGAAGUCGGAUUAGCUAGUUGGAGGGUAACGGCCUACCAAGGCGACGAUCCGUAGCUGGUCUGAGAGGACGACCAGCCACACUGGGACUGAGACACGGCCCAGACUCCUACGGGAGGCAGCAGUGGGGAAUAUUGGACAAUGGGGGAAACCCUGAUCCAGCGACGCCGCGUGUGUGAAGAAGGCCUGCGGGGUUGUAAAGCACUUUUUAG